rnacentral:lncRNA from 1 species
UUACUUAAAUCGGUUUACUAUACAAUUUUGAGUUAAUUAACCAAGAACUAGCUUUAGUAAUCAUCUACAUAAGUAUCACAGAGAUCUAGUAUAAGUUUUCUCUUUUAAUAAUACAUUUCUCACUUAGACUACAUAAAACAUGCAUGAACACACAAACAUGAAAAAACUAAUCUCAAGAACUUUGUUUCCGGCCACCACGUUAAGUCAUGUUUAGAAAUCUGUAAAAAACAAAUGGUUAAACUUAAAGUAAUCAUUCGUGCAAAUUCACAGAAUAAAAAUGGUAUACAU